ACUGAACGCUGGCGGCAGGCCUAACACAUGCAGGUCGAGCGGCAGCGGGGGAAAGCUUGCUUUCCCGCCGGCGAGCGGCGGACGGGUGAGUAAUGCCUGGGAAACUGCCUGAUGGAGGGGGAUAACUACUGGAAACGGUAGCUAAUACCGCAUAACGUCUUCGGACCAAAGUGGGGGACCUUCGGGCCUCAUGCCAUCAGAUGUGCCCAGAUGGGAUUAGCUAGUUGGUGGGGUAACGGCUCACCAAGGCGACGAUCCCUAGCUGGUCUGAGAGGAUGACCAGCCACACUGGAACUGAGACACGGUCCAGACUCCUACGGGAGGCAGCAGUGGGGAAUAUUGCACAAUGGGCGCAAGCCUGAUGCAGCCAUGCCGCGUGUAUGAAGAAGGCCUUCGGGUUGUAAAGUACUUUCAGCGGGGAGGAAGGUGUUGUGGUUAAUAACCAGAGCAAUUGACGUUACCCGCAGAAGAAGCACCGGCUAACUCCGUGCCAGCCGCCGCUGUAAAAC
rnacentral:rRNA from 1 species